rnacentral:misc_RNA from 1 species
GAAGAAGAAGAAGAAGAAGAAGAGGAGGAGUACCUGGUGGGGACAAGCCGGCUACUAGAGGUGACUGGCAGCGACGACAGAGGGCAACUUGGUUCAGGGAUGUGUCGCCGAUGCUCUGCUUCCUUUCCCAUCCGAUGCUCUGUUCCCUUCCCCCAUAUGUCGAUGCCAUGCUUUGCGAAUUUUCUCCAAUCCUGUGAUGUAUAUCGAUGCCAUGCUCUGCUCUUUCUCCCAAUCCC